rnacentral:rRNA from 1 species
UUGGAGGGCAAGCUGGUGCCAGCAGCCGCGGUAAUUCCAGCUCCAAUAGCGUAUAUUAAAGUUGCUGCAGUUAAAAAGCUCGUAGUUGAAUUUCGGGACCAUCAUGUCGGUCGUGCCUCGGUACGUACUGGUAUUGUUGGUUUCUCCCUUCUGACGAACCAUGAUGUCAUUUAUUUGGUGUUGUGGGGAAUCAGGACUGUUACUUUGAAAAAAUUAGAGUGUUUAAAGCAGGCUCACGCUUGAAUACAUUAGCAUGGAAUAAUGAAAUAGGACGUUUGAUUCUAUUUUGUUGGUUUUUAGGAUCGACGUAAUGAUUAAUAGGGAUAGUUGGGGGCAUUAGUAUUCAAUUGUCAGAGGUGAAAUUCUUGGAUUUAUUGAAGACUAACUACUGCGAAAGCAUUUGCCAAGGAUGUUUUCAUUAAUCAAGAACGAAAGUUAGGGGAUCGAAGACGAUCAGAUACCGUCGUAGUCUUAACCAUAAACUAUGCCGACUAGGGAUCGGAUGAUGUUAAUUUUUUAAUGACUCAUUCGGCGCCUUACGGGAAAC